UACGGAGGAUGCGAGCGUUAUCCGGAUUUAUUGGGUUUAAAGGGUGCGUGGGCGGAGUGUCAAGUCAGCGGUAAAAUUUCGGGGCUCAACCCCGUCGUGCCGUUGAAACUGGGGAUCUUGAGUGGGCGAGAAGUAUGCGGAAUGCGUGGUGUAGCGGUGAAAUGCAUAGAUAUCGCGCAGAACUCCGAUUGCGAAGGCAGCGUACCGGCGCCACACUGACGCUGAGGCACGAAAGCGUGGGGAUCGAACAGG
rnacentral:rRNA from 1 species